GACGAACGCUGGCGGCGUGCUUAACACAUGCAAGUCGAACGAAGAGCGAUGGAAGCUUGCUUCUAUCAAUCUUAGUGGCGAACGGGUGAGUAACGCGUAAUCAACCUGCCCUUCAGAGGGGGACAACAGUUGGAAACGACUGGUAAUACCGCAUACGAUUUAAUCUCGGCAUCGAGGAUAGAUGAAAGGUGGCCUCUACAUGUAAGCUAUCACUGAAGGAGGGGAUUGCGUCUGAUUAGCUAGUUGGAGGGGUAACGGCCCACCAAGGCGAUGAUCAGUAGCCGGUCUGAGAGGAUGAACGGCCACAUUGGGACUGAGACACGGCCCAGACUCCUACGGGAGGCAGCAGUGGGGAAUCUUCCGCAAUGGACGAAAGUCUGACGGAGCAACGCCGCGUGAGUGAUGACGGCCUUCGGGUUGUAAAGCUCUGUUAAUCGGGACGAAAGGCCUUCUUGCGAAUAGUGAGAAGGAUUGACGGUACCGGAAUAGAAAGCCACG
rnacentral:rRNA from 1 species